rnacentral:rRNA from 1 species
GUGCCAGCAGCCGCGGUAAUACAGGGGGGGCAAGCGUUGUUCGGAAUUACUGGGCGUAAAGGGUCUGUAGGUGGCCAACUAAGUCAUACGUGAAAUCCCUCAGCUUAACUGGGGAACUGCGCCUGAUACUGGUUGGCUUGAGUGCAGGAGAGGAACGCGGAAUUCCAGGUGUAGCGGUGAAAUGCGUAGAUAUCUGGAGGAACACCGGUGGCGAAGGCGGCGUUCUGGACUGCAACUGACACUGAGAGACGAAAGCCAGGGGAGCAAACGGGAUUAGAAACCCUAGUAGUCC